GAAGGUAUAGCUCAGUGGUAGAGCAUUCGACUGCUAAUUGAGAGGGCCCCGGUUCAAACCCGGGUGUCCUCU
rnacentral:tRNA from 1 species